rnacentral:rRNA from 1 species
AGUGAACGCUGGCGGUAGGCCUAACACAUGCAAGUCGAACGGCAGCACAGUAAGAGCUUGCUCUUACGGGUGGCGAGUGGCGGACGGGUGAGGAAUACAUCGGAAUCUACUUUUUCGUGGGGGAUAACGUAGGGAAACUUACGCUAAUACCGCAUACGACCUACGGGUGAAAGCAGGGGAUCUUCGGACCUUGCGCGAUUGAAUGAGCCGAUGUCGGAUUAGCUAGUUGGCGGGGUAAAGGCCCACCAAGGCGACGAUCCGUAGCUGGUCUGAGAGGAUGAUCAGCCACACUGGAACUGAGACACGGUCCAGACUCCUACGGGAGGCAGCAGUGGGGAAUAUUGGGCAAUGGGCGCAAGCCCGAUCCAGCCAUACCGCGUGGGUGAAGAAGGCCUUCGGGUUGUAAAGCCCUUUUGUUGGGAAAGAAAAGCAGCAGGUUAAUACCCCGCUGUUCUGACGGUACCCAAAGAAUAAGCACCGGCUAACUUCGUG